rnacentral:misc_RNA from 1 species
AAGUCGUAACAAGGUUUCCGUAGGUGAACCUGCGGAAGGAUCAUUAACACUUUGUUAACCCAAUAUCAACCAAAUGUGAACUGUAGCGUCCCUAUUCAUUGAUGUAACAAGUUUCGGCUUAGUACAAUAAUGCGAUAGACAAUACCCUCUUAGUAGUUGUCUCAAACUGGACCACAAUAUCCUUUUUGUAGAUGAUGAACUAUUAACCAAUUUUAACCCUAUAACAUAAUAAUUGUCUAAUCUUCAUGAACUUAUAUACUACUUCGGUGGUGAAUAAGAUUUACGAAAUAUUGAACAACUCUUAGCAAUGGAUAUCUUGGGUCAU